rnacentral:rRNA from 1 species
GACGAACGCUGGCGGCGUGCCUAAUACAUGCAAGUAGAACGCUGAAGGAGGAGCUUGCUUCUCUGGAUGAGUUGCGAACGGGUGAGUAACGCGUAGGUAACCUGCCUGGUAGCGGGGGAUAACUAUUGGAAACGAUAGCUAAUACCGCAUAAGAGUAGAUGUUGCAUGACAUUUGCUUAAAAGGUGCAAUUGCAUCACUACCAGAUGGACCUGCGUUGUAUUAGCUAGUUGGUGGGGUAACGGCUCACCAAGGCGACGAUACAUAGCCGACCUGAGAGGGGGAUCGGCCACACUGGGACUGGGACACGGCCCAGACUCCUACGGGAGGCAGCAGUAGGGAAUCUUCGGCAAUGGACGGAAGUCUGACCGAGCAACGCCGCGUGAGUGAAGAAGGUUUUCGGAUCGUAAAGCUCUGUUGUAAGAGAAGAACGAGUGUGGGAGUGGAAAGUUCACACUGUGACGGUAUCUUACCAGAAAGGGACGGCUAACUACGUG